rnacentral:misc_RNA from 1 species
GUUCGAGCGUCAUUAUAAUCACUCGAGCCUAGCUUGGUAUUGGGGUUCGCGUGCUCGCGGCCCUUAAAAUUAGUGGCGGCGCCUGUUAGGCUCUAAGCGUAGUAAUACUCCUCGCUAUAGGGACCCGGCAGACGCUGGCCAGCAACCCCCAACUUUCUAAGUUUGACCUCGGAUCAGGUAGGGAUACCCGCUGAACUUAA